UAUCUCUGUAGAGUCUGCAUAUCAAUAAGCGGAGGAAAAGAAACUAACUAGGAUUCCCUCAGUAACGGCGAGUGAAGCGGGAAGAGCUCAAAUUUGAAAUCUUCAAGGUUCUACCUUGACGAAUUGUAGCUUAAAGAAGUGUUUUCUGUUGGUAGUUUUGGUAAAAGUUCUUUGGAAUAGGACAUCAUAGAGGGUGAGAAUCCCGUAUUUGACCAGUUAUUUCAGCUUUGUGAUACACUUUCAAAGAGUCGGAUUGUUUGGGAAUGCAGUCCAAAAUGGGUGGUAAACUUCAUCUAAAGCUAAAUAUUGGCGAGAGACCGAUAGCGAACAAGUACCGUGAGGGAAGGAUGAAAAGAACUUUGAAAAGAGAGUUAAACAGUACGUGAAAUUGUCAAAAGGGAAGCGUUUGACACCAGUGUUGUUUUCUCGAAAAUCAAUUAAAAAAAGUUGGAUUUUGUGUUGUAUUGACCUUAACAGCUUUCUGCACUCUUUUCCUGCUUUUUUUAAUGCACUUUUCGUUUAACAAGUCAACAUCAGUUCUUUUGUUGUAAAAGGGUCAUUGGAAGGUGGCUUUCUUUUCGGAGAAAGUGUUUAUAGCCCUAUACUUCUACAAUCGGAGAGAUUGAGGUCUGCAGCGUAGAUCCUUCGGGGUUAGAUACACUUGUGCUAAGUUGUAGCUUUUCAUAGACAACUUGUUGACUAUGUUUAGUCAUGCGGCUUACUCGCUUGUGCUAUUUUACCUACGCUUAGGAUGUUGAAGAUGUAGCACAUCAU
rnacentral:rRNA from 1 species